rnacentral:tRNA from 1 species
GUAAGCAUAGUUCACUUGGUAGAACAAUGCAUUAUUAUAUGCACGGAUCGGAGUUCGAAUCUUCCGAGCAUCCC